AAGAGCCCAGCGCCGAAUCCCCGGGCCCCGCCGAGGGCCCGAGGGAACUGUGGCGUAAGGAAGUCCGGCCCCGCGGCCGCGCCGGCGCCGAGGUCCUUCUGAUUGAGGCGUGCUCCGUCCCAGGGCGGGUGUCAGGCCCAGGCGGGCGCCUGCCGGUCGCGGACCAGGGCUUCCGGGAGUCGGGUUGUUUUGUAGCGCAGCCCAAAGGUGGGUGGUAAACUCCAUCCAAGGCUAAAUACCUUGCACGAGACCGAUAGAGC
rnacentral:rRNA from 1 species